UACGAAGGGGGCAAGCGUUGUUCGGAAUUACUGGGCGUAAAGGGCGCGUAGGCGGUGCGCUAAGUCAGAUGUGAAAGCCCUGGGCUUAACCCGGGAACUGCAUUUGAUACUGGCGCGCUUGAAUCCGGGAGAGGUUGGUGGAAUUCCCAGUGUAGAGGUGAAAUUCGUAGAGAUUGGGAAGAACACCGGUGGCGAAGGCGGCCAACUGGACCGGUAUUGACGCUGAGGCGCGAAAGCGUGGGGAGCAGACAGG
rnacentral:rRNA from 1 species